rnacentral:rRNA from 2 species
GGAGUAACCAUUUGGAGCUAGCCGUCGAAGGUGGGACAAAUGAUUGGGGUGAAGUCGUAACAAGGUAGCCGUAUCGGAAGGUGCGGCUGGAUCACCUCCUUUCUAAGGA